rnacentral:rRNA from 1 species
AUGAGCUCGCGUCUGAUUAGCUAGUUGGAGUGGUAACGGCACACCAAGGCGACGAUCAGUAGCUGGUCUGAGAGGAUGAUCAGCCACACUGGGACUGAGACACGGCCCAGACUCCUACGGGAGGCAGCAGUGGGGAAUUUUCCGCAAUGGGCGAAAGCCUGACGGAGCAAGACCGCGUGGGGGAAGAAGGUUUGUGGAUUGUAAACCCCUUUUGAUUGGGAAGAAAACAUUGACGGUACCAAUCGAAUCAGCAUCGGCUAACUCCGUGCCAGCAGCCGCGGUAAUACGGAGGAUGCAAGCGUUAUCCGGAAUUAUUGGGCGUA